GACGAACGCUGGCGGCGUGCCUAAUACAUGCAAGUAGAACGCUGAAGGAGGAGCUUGCUCUUCUGGAUGAGUUGCGAACGGGUGAGUAACGCGUAGGUAACCUGCCUGGUAGCGGGGGAUAACUAUUGGAAACGAUAGCUAAUACCGCAUAAGAGUAGAUGUUGCAUGACAUUUACUUAAAAGGUGCAAUUGCAUCACUACCAGAUGGACCUGCGUUGUAUUAGCUAGUUGGUGGGGUAACGGCUUACCAAGGCGACGAUACAUAGCCGACCUGAGAGGGUGAUCGGCCACACUGGGACUGAGACACGGCCCAGACUCCUACGGGAGGCAGCAGUAGGGAAUCUUCGGCAAUGGACGGAAGUCUGACCGAGCAACGCCGCGUGAGUGAAGAAGGUUUUCGGAUCGGAAAGCUCUGUUGUAAGAGAAGAACGAGUGGGAGAGUGGAAAGUUCACACUGUGACGGUAUCUUACCAGAAAGGGACGGCUAACUACGUG
rnacentral:rRNA from 1 species